AUUGAACGCUGGCGGCAUGCCUUACGCAUGCAAGUCGAACGGUAACAGGUCUUCGGAUGCUGACGAGUGGCGAACGGGUGAGUAAUACAUCGGAACGUGCCUAGUAGUGGGGGAUAACUACUCGAAAGAGUGGCUAAUACCGCAUGAGAUCUACGGAUGAAAGCAGGGGAUCGCAAGACCUUGUGCUACUAGAGCGGCCGAUGGCAGAUUAGGUAGUUGGUGGGAUAAAAGCUUACCAAGCCGACGAUCUGUAGCUGGUCUGAGAGGACGAUCAGCCACACUGGGACUGAGACACGGCCCAGACUCCUACGGGGGGCAGCAGUGGGGAAUUUUGGACAAUGGGCGCAAGCCUGAUCCAGCAAUGCCGCGUGCAGGAUGAAGGCCUUCGGGUUGUAAACUGCUUUUGUACGGAACGAAAAGCCCUGGGUUAAUACCCUGGGGUCAUGACGGUACCGUAAGAAUAAGCACCGGCUAACUACGUGCCAGCCGCCGCCGUAA
rnacentral:rRNA from 1 species